rnacentral:tRNA from 1 species
GGGGUUGUAGCUCAGUGGUAGAGAGCUUGCUUGGCAUGUGUGAAGCACUGGGUUCGAUUCUCAGCAACACAU